GAGUUUGAUCGUGGCUCAGAUUGAACGCUGGCGGCAUGCCUUACACAUGCAAGUCGAACGGCAGCAUGAUCUAGCUUGCUAGAUUGAUGGCGAGUGGCGAACGGGUGAGUAAUACAUCGGAACGUGCCCUGUAGUGGGGAUAACUAGUCGAAAGAUUAGCUAAUACCGCAUACGACCUGAGGGUGAAAGUGGGGGACCGCAAGGCCUCAUGCUAUAGGAGCGGCCGAUGUCUGAUUAGCUAGUUGGUGGGGUAAAGGCCCGACCAAGGCGACGAUCAGUAGCUGGUCUGAGAGGACGAUCAGCCACACUGGGACUGAGACACGGCCCAGACUCCUACGGGAGGCAGCAGUGGGGAAUUUUGGACAAUGGGCGAAAGCCUGAUCCAGCAAUGCCGCGUGUGUGAGAAGGCC
rnacentral:rRNA from 1 species